rnacentral:rRNA from 1 species
UACGUAGGGGGCAAGCGUUGUCCGGAUUUAUUGGGCGUAAAAGGCUUGUAGGUGGCCACGCCAAGUCGGAUGUGAAAUCUCCCGGCUCAACUGGAAGGGGUCAUUCGAUACUGGCGGGCUCGAGGCCGGUAGGGGGAAGUGGAAUUCCCGGUGUAGUGGUGGAAUGCGUAGAUAUCGGGAGGAACACCAGUGGCGAAGGCGGCUUCCUGGACCGGUUCUGACACUGAGGAGCGAAAGCGUGGGGAGCGAACAGG